UGAAAUAAAGGUGACAGUCUGUUUCUACAG
rnacentral:piRNA from 1 species